AGCGAACGCUGGCGGCAGGCCUAACACAUGCAAGUCGAACGAACCUUUCGGGGUUAGUGGUGGACGGGUGAGUAACACGUGGGAACGUGCCUUUAGGUUCGGAAUAACUCAGGGAAACUUGUGCUAAUACCGAAUGUGCCCUUCGGGGGAAAGAUUUAUCGCCUUUAGAGCGGCCCGCGUCUGAUUAGCUAGUUGGUUGAGGUAAUGGCUCACCAAGGCGACGAUCAGUAGCUGGUCUGAGAGGAUGAUCAGCCACAUUGGGACUGAGACACGGCCCAAACUCCUACGGGAAGCAGCAGUGGGGAAUCUUGCGCAAUGGGCGAAAGCCUGACGCAGCCAUGCCGCGUGAAUGAUGAAGGUCUUAGGAUUGUAAAAUUCUAUCACCGGGGACGAUAAUGACGGUACCCGGAGAAGAAGCCCCGGCUAACUUCGUG
rnacentral:rRNA from 1 species